UUUUUCUUUUCAAUAUUUAUAGGAACAACGAUGAUAACUGGAGCUUGCGUUAGAUAUCUAGAUUUUAAAAAAGAUGAGCAAGAGUUACGUUUGCAUGUUGCAGAUGUUCCAAAUCGGAAGCAGUCUGCAUCUUGGAUUAAUGCUCUGCAAAGGGCUUUGAAAUAUGUUACUCCAGAUCCUGGAAGUCCAUAAAUGUGACACUUGUGAGCUUUGAGACAUUUUAGAAAGAUUUAAAGAACAGCAGAAUCAAACAAACAAAAAGUAUUUUUUGUAUGCAGAACCAAAAUACAAGCCAAAAGCUUGCAAAUGUAAUUUUCUAUUUUAAUUGUAUAUAAAUGUUGAAAUGUAUGUGAUCAAAGUGAUUUAUUAUUUUUCCUGUUAAUGAAAUCUCUUUUAAUUUUUUCUGAUUUUUUGGAAAAGGGGGAAUAACUUGCAAUCCCACUGCUUCUACCUAGUCCUUUAUUUUUUUUUUAAUUGUGUAAAUACAUUAUCUUAUUCUUUCUUAUAAUCUUAUAAAUCUUCUCAUUUUUUAUACCUCUGCUGCUGAUGUUUUUGUAUUAUAUUUAUCUGCAGUUAUUUUGCUUUAUAAUUUGUUAUGUUAAGAAGGCUACAAAAAAAUGUAAGCAUAUGAAGGUGAAAAGAAUUGUGAUUUACGUAUAUAUAUAUAUAUACAUGCACUGCCUUUUAUCGGCUUUAAAUUCUCUAGCAUUAGGGAUGAGGAGAUGAGUGUUUUUAUGUAAAGUUGCAGUACAAAGAAAAAUGUAUUUUUGAAGCCAUAUUUUACUUAUUGUUAUCAGAGUUUUCUGUAAGAUAUUUUAAAAUUUCCAGUUAUUGCUGUUGUGAUUAAUAAAAAAUGUAUUAUAACCACAGGAGAGUAGGAGGCAGAGGGUACUAUGCAAAAUUUAAUUCUGAAAAUUGAAAUAAAAUUUAUGCACUUUUACCGAAAUGCAAAUUGAGAAUGUCCCCCCGCCCCCCGCCAUAAUGACACUAUACUAUAAUGUCAAACCCACUUUAUAUAAUCACUGUACUGUAAGACUGUCAUAUAAGAAAUUGUGUUAAAAAAUUACAAUUCAAAGUAUUUCCAAAUUUCUGUAUGCAAAUACCUCUUUUUAAGUUAGCCUUAAAAAUCUUAGCCUUAAGAGACUAAGAAAGAUUUGUAUUAGAGUAUUAGUAUAGUUUAGUGUAUUUCAUUUUACAUAUUUUUUUCUUGGGACUUGUUGAUAUAUUUUAUUUGUUGUUGAUAUAAUAUAAUAUUUGUUUGUUGAUAUAAUAUAAUGAUGUGCUAGAAUGUUAUUAUAUAUGUGUUUUGCACAAUUUCAUAUUUGUAGUAGUAUCAGAAAAUUUAAUGUUAAUGUGUAUUAUAUAUAAUUUUUAUGUCAUUUGUAAACACUGAAAUAGAUUUUCUGCAUUUUUUACAUAAAAUAUGACUGCGAGAUUAAUAUGUAGUGCUAAGAUUCUUUAGACAUUCUCUUAAGAAUUUAUAUCACAGAUUUAAUAUUUUCAGAAGCAAGUGCAUGAUCAGUUUUUGAAAUUUAUUUUCAUAUGCUUUCAAAAGUUUGAAGAAUUUGUGUCUAAUGUAAAGUAUAUUUUUAUUGUAGCUUAAACAAAUGCAAGGACUUCCAUUUUGACAAUCAGAUCAAAAUAUAUGUUGGUAAUCAAAUUACAUUGUGUUUAUUUGUUUCAAAGUUUUUUUUAUAUAAAGAAAGUGAAGGAGAAAACUUUGUAUGUUUUUCUGUGAAAUAUGUAUUGGCUGUAGAAACAGCAAAAUUUUUUUUCAAAUUGAAGUAAGAUUUUUUAAUGCAGCAUUCUUUUUCUUUUUUUCCCUUCAGUAUCACAACUAAAUAAUUAAUUCUUUCAUUCAUUACUUUAUUAAAUUAAUUGUUGUAGAAUAAAAUGUGACCUUUGUGAUAUUUAUAACAUGAAAAACGUAGUUAUUUACUGAUUUUUUUAAGUUGCAUUCAGGCUGAUUGCAAGGAUGCUGCAUAUCAUAAAGUAGGAGUUCUGGUAUUUUUAUAUUUUAUAUCUUUAUUGGAAAUUCUAUUAUCAUUUUAUAAAUGAUUUAUGCUUUAUUGCAAAUAUUGAGUAAAAACAAAAUAUAGCAGUAAUGUCAUAGAAAUGAAUUUCUGUGAAAUGUAAUAAUUCUGUAAAUGACUGUAAACAUUUAUUAUUACUGUCAGACUCCAAGUAUCUGCACUCCAACAUUGUUUUGCUGCAGAAACAUUUUCCUGCCUGCAACAUCUUUGGGUUUUCUUAGAUUAUUACUGGUGAAUCCAAUUGGUAAAAAUUUGAAAAGUAUUUUGGUAAAUCAUAUGAAACAUUAGAGUAAUGUAUUAACUCUAAUAAAUUGACUACAUAUAAACUCUAAUAAAAUGAUAUACUCGUUAUGAACAAAACUUCAGUGGGCUGAUGGCCGCUAAACGAAUAUUGUGUGGUGCUAAUAUAUUAAAAAAAUUAUUUUAUUACUUCCUUUUACACCAAAAACUUUAUUUGUACUCAAAACUUUUUUUUUUAUAUAUAUUUAUAUCAUGUUUGAUUUUUGAGAUCUGCAUCUACUUGGUAUAUGAUUUUAGUAUAUUUAAAACAUGUCUGAUCUGAAAUUGGUUUGUCUAAUAUUUUAAAACUAUUAUUGAGUGCCAAUAUUAGUAACAACGAUUCCUGUAUUUGCUGAAUUAUAUCAGCAUUUCCCAUCAGAAUUUUUUCUGGGAUAUUUUGGGUUUAUACAUGUAUAAAUCUUUUGAGGUUUAUUUCAGUUAAAUUUGUGGUUGUAAAUCACUAUUUGUUGAUUUUUCUGUAGGUUCAUAUUUGUAUUUGUAACUAAAUGAUUUUAUAAAAAUAAAGUCUUGUUAAUAA